ensembl:snoRNA SNORD42 Small nucleolar RNA SNORD42
GUGCAAAUGAUGGAAAUUUGUUGCAUCUGAACCACUGUGAUGCUUUCAAAGGAACCACUGAUGCAU